AUCCAGCUGACGAGUUCCAAAUAGGAAGAAACACAGGUCCUGAAU
rnacentral:hammerhead_ribozyme from 1 species